UACAGAGGUCUCAAGCGUUGUUCGGAUUCAUUGGGCGUAAAGGGUGCGCAGGCUGUGAUGUAAGUUGGAUGUGAAAUCCCGGGGCUCAACCCCGGAACUGCAUUCAAUACUGCAUUGCUAGAGGACUGGAGAGGAGAUUGGAAUUCACGGUGUAGCAGUGAAAUGCGUAGAUAUCGUGAGGAAGACCAGUGGCGAAGGCGAAUCUCUGGACAGUUUCUGACGCUCAUGCACGAAGGCCAGGGGAGCAAACGGG
rnacentral:rRNA from 1 species